rnacentral:rRNA from 1 species
UACGAGUGCCCCGAGCGUUAUCCGGAAUCAUUGGGCGUAAAGGGUGUGUAGGUGGCAGUGUUAGUCAGUUGUUAAAACCCGGGGCUCAACCCCGGAACCGCGACUGAAACGGCACAGCUAGAGGAUGCGAGGGAUCUGUGGAACUCAUGGAGUAGGGGUGAAAUCCGUUGAUAUCAUGGGGAACACCAAAAGCGAAAGCAGCAGAUUGGCGCAUUCCUGACACUGAAACACGAAAGACGUGGGUGAUACGAAUGGG